ACUGAGACACGGCCCAGACUCCUACGGGAGGCAGCAGUAGGGAAUUUUCGGCAAUGGGGGAAACCCUGACCGAGCGACGCCGCGUGAGGGAUGAAGGCCUUCGGGUUGCAAACCUCUGUCUUCGGGGACGAUGAUGACGGUACCCGAGGAGGAAGCCACGGCUAACUACGUGCCAGCAGCCGCGGUAAGACGUAGGUGGCAAGCGUUGUCCGGAAUUAUUGGGCGUAAAGGGCGUGCAGGCGGCCUGUUAAGUCAGACGUGAAAUCCCCGGGCUUAACCUUGGGACUGCGUUUGAUACUGAUGGGCUUGAGGACAGGAGAGGAAAGUGGAACUCCGUGUGUAGCGGUGAAAUGCUCAGAUAUACGGAAGAACACCAGAGGCGAAGGCGACUUUCUGGACUGUCCCUGACGCUGAGGCGCGAAAGCCAGGGGAGCGAACGGGAUUAGAUACCCCGGUAGUCCUGGCUGUAAACGAUGGGUACUAGGUGUGGGGGGUAUCGACCCCCUCCGUGCCGGAGUUAACACAAUAAGUACCCCGCCUGGGGAGUACGGCCGCGAGGUUGAAACUCAAAGGAAUUGACGGGGGCCCGCACAAGCGGUGGAGCAUGUGGUUUAAUUCGAUGCAACGCGAAGAACCUUACCAGGUCUUGACUUCCCCUUGUAAAGCCUAGAAAUAGGUUCCCUCUUCGGAGCAAGGGGGACAGGUGUUGCAUGGCUGUCGUCAGCUCGUGUCGUGAGAUGUUGGGUUAAGUCCCGCAACGAGCGCAACCCCUAUUUUUAGUUGCCAGCAGUUCGGCUGGGCACUCUAAAGAGACUGCCGGUGACAAACCGGAGGAAGGUGGGGAUGACGUCAAGUCAUCAUGCCCCUUAUGACCUGGGCUACACACGUGCUACAAUGGCCGGUACAGAGCGACGCUAAAGGGCGACCUGGAGCAAAUCGCAUAAAGCCGGUCCCAGUUCGGAUCGGAGGCUGCAACCCGCCUCCGUGAAGUCGGAAUCGCUAGUAAUCUCGGGUCAGCAUACCGAGGUGAAUACGUUCCCGGGCCUUGUACACACCGCCCGUCACACCACGAAAGUCUACCACACCCGAAACCGGUGCGCUAACCGAAAGGGAGCAGCCGUCUAAGGUGGGGUCGAUGAUUGGGGUGAAGUCGUAACAAGGUAGCCGUAUCGGAAGGUGCGGCUG
rnacentral:rRNA from 1 species